rnacentral:lncRNA from 1 species
GAUGAAUCUAUUCGCUUGUUCAGAAAAAAUACUGAGUUAUAAGAAAACGAACAAAGCCAUGAUCAUAAAAAAAAAACCACACACACAACAACGUGUCAUUCCUCACUACGCCUAGCCAAAUGCAAAGUACCCAUCACAUAAUAUAUGGUUCACAGUAGCCAAUCAUGACAUAGUAAUACGAGGUCCAAUCAUGACAUAGUGAUACGAGUACCAAUCCUGCAGAGUACCAAUCACAUAGUAAUAGCAGUUAAGUGGAGUACAUGCAAUAGAGAUAAACAAGCUGCUGAGCUUCAGUGCCU